CCUUUCUUCAUUCCUGGGAAGUUGAGUAUUGAGCACAGUGCAGCAGGGGUAGCAUUGUGCAGGGAUGAGAAGCACUGAGUAUAUCGGCAGAUCCUGGAGCCAGACUGACUGUGUUUGACCGUGAGGGUCCAUGUGGCUGUGUCGGUGGGGCCCUUGUUGACAGCUUUCACUGUUCAGACAGUGAUCACAGGCGGAUUGCUUGUGGGCCUCCGUUCCUGAUUCCUGAGGUGAGCUGGCAAUCUUCAGAAAUACCGAGGCGUGUGUAAACAAGAUUAUUGGUGACUGCAGGGUGAGACCGCCUACAACACCCCCAAACACGCCUCAGUGCAGAAUCUACUUGCAGAAAUUUGGCUGGCAGUUCAGAUCAUUUAGACACCAUCCUUGAAGCUUCAUUACCAGGGUAGAUGUGCAUCAAAGACCCCGACUGAGGACACAUCAGUGGACUCACCCAGUGGGAAUUAUCUCCUCCCCAAAGCUUCCAGUCCAGGGCUGGCUGCUCCUAGCUGGGCCAAUCAAUUUAUCCCCUGAUGCAUGUCAUUAUCCUUUUGCAUGUCUGUGCCAAAAAGUUUUGUAAAUGUGAACCUGGCGAAGCGGAAUCCUUUGCAAAGGAGAGUUGCAGGUAGCAACAAGGUCAAUGUCAGGGAGGCAGAGGGUCGGUGACCACAUGCUAAGAAGGGGUGGGGAGAGGUCCUCAGCUUUGCUGAAUGCUCUGCCAGGGAGUAGCCCUUUGCCAUUGAGACUCCCUGUUGAGACUUCUGGGAUUCUGUUGCAGGCAACUGAGUGAUUUAACAACCAGGACAAAUAUACUGUGCUUGGAACAGAAAACACCCCCGACUUCUACAUUUGGAUUCUCAGAGCCGUGCUAACCAGAUGUAAAAUGCAGGGAGAGGCACCAUGGUGAUUGAGUUUUCAUCUUUGAAACACAACAGCAUGCCAAUCUUCUAUGUAAGUUGGAAACGGGUUUCUACAGAACAGGAAAUAGGUACCACUGCGGGUUUACAC
ensembl:lincRNA Gm28723 predicted gene 28723